AGCACUUGCAUGUGUGCUUUGGUUAAUUUGUAAUAAAGCCUUACAGACAGGUGAACAGCAAAUCCUCUUUUGCAACCCAAACUCAGUGUGGAGUAUGAGAUUUUGGUACAUAUAAGAAGGAAUAUG